UCCCUCGUAGUUCAGUCGGUAGAACGGCGGACUGUUAAUCCGUAUGUCACUGGUUCAAGUCCAGUAGGAGGAGCCA
rnacentral:tRNA from 3 species